UGACAGGAGCUUGCUCCUGAAUUCAGCGGCGGACGGGUGAGUAAUGCCUAGGAAUCUGCCUGGUAGUGGGGGACAACGUUUCGAAAGGAACGCUAAUACCGCAUACGUCCUACGGGAGAAAGCAGGGGACCUUCGGGCCUUGCGCUAUCAGAUGAGCCUAGGUCGGAUUAGCUAGUUGGUGAGGUAAUGGCUCACCAAGGCGACGAUCCGUAACUGGUCUGAGAGGAUGAUCAGUCACACUGGAACUGAGACACGGUCCAGACUCCUACGGGAGGCAGCAGUGGGGAAUAUUGGACAAUGGGCGAAAGCCUGAUCCAGCCAUGCCGCGUGUGUGAAGAAGGUCUUCGGAUUGUAAAGCACUUUAAGUUGGGAGGAAGGGCAUUAACCUAAUACGUUAGUGUUUUGACGUUACCGACAGAA
rnacentral:rRNA from 1 species